UUCCCAUCAGGCACAUCCACCACAAAUGACUCUAUGACCAACGUCCCAGGCCUUCCAUCAAUAACCUCUGGAUGCACGGUCAUGAUUGACGAGUAGUUCUUUAGCCUAUGAUCACCACCAACAAUCUUGAUUCCAAGAAUGUGCUCCUCAUCGUCCAGAAGUUCCAGCAUCUCGGUGCUAGUGGUAGCGGGGAGUCCAGAUUUAACAUUGACUUCCCUAACACUUCCAAUCUCAGGCUCCCCACUCUCCCCAUUCACAACGCAUCUACUCACAAAUGGCUUGUACUUCUGGGGCUGAUCGAAUCGCCUAACCAAAGACCAAACGAGAUGAACAGGAGCUUUGAUGUGCUUGACGAGAGCAGAAGCGCACUGGUUCUCUUUAGGCUGAUGCCUAUGGUGUCUCCGUAUGUACUGUGCCUCCACUGCACCGGAAGCAUCGCCGCCGUUCAUCUUUAACAAAAUGAAUCACUCGAUAGAAGUCGCCUUAUUUGUGUCUGGAUGAGAAAUCUCGAUGAUUUGCUAUAGAGAUAAGCUUUUGGCCUCUGGUCAGAAUCUAAACAGAGGGAUUCGCUGCCAUGCAAAUUGGGCUUUGGCUUAGCUCUAGAUUGGCUUAGUAGAC
rnacentral:misc_RNA from 1 species